AAUAAGAUGCCUGAAUAAAGGACUAUUGUGAUAGAAUAGAUUAUGUAGUAAAACUACUCUUAUUA
rnacentral:tRNA from 1 species